rnacentral:rRNA from 1 species
UACGUAGGAUGCGGGCGUUAAUCGGAAUUACUGGGCGUAAAGCGUGCGCAGGCGGCUUUUCAAGUCAGGUGUGAAAUCCCCGGGCUUAACCUGGGAAUGGCGCUUGAAACUGGAAGGCUUGAGUGUGGCAGAGGGGGGUGGAAUUCCACGUGUAGCAGUGAAAUGCGUAGAGAUGUGGAGGAACACCGAUGGCGAAGGCAGCCCCCUGGGCUGACACUGACGCUCAGGCACGAAAGCGUGGGGAGCAAACAGG